CUCUCUUCUCUCCCUUCUUUCUCUCUUCGUCUAUCAGUCUCACGCCGCCGCCAUCCCCUCUCUCUCUCUCCCGAUUCGCCGCCGCCGCCACUGUACAUGCACAGGCGGCGGCUUCGCCGACCUCCACCCGGAAGUACGGUCCUAUCAACGGCGCUCUGCACUCUCUCUCUCUCUCUGCACUCUCUCUCCCCCUAAACCCUAAACCCCCUCCGAUUCGCCGCACCGCCGCCGCCGCUGCGGAUCCGCCUCUGCCGCCGUCGCCGAGAACCUCCCACAGCCGCCGACGCCGAUUUCCGACAGGUGGGAUGGUCGGAAUUCGUUCCUCCAAUUCCUCUCUUUUAUUCCGAGCUCGCUGCCGGAAGAGCUAUUGCUGUCGCCGCCGGGAGCCGCUGCUCCGUCGGUGGUCGUGCAGCCCCGAAACAUCACCGCAGCCCCCAACUUCAAACGGGACAGUCCCGAUUCACCUCCGAAUAGCCCCGACACUAACCCGAUUUCAACCGAACAGAUCGGUUCUCAUUCAAAAUAUAAUCGGUUCAAGUCCGUGGCUGCCCGCGCUGAAGUACCCAAUUUGCUUAGAGUGCGAUGUAUUAAAUUUUGUUGGAUGUAUCGGACAUUAAAAUUUUGAUUAUGGGUCUUGAUUCUUUUAUUAUA